rnacentral:rRNA from 1 species
UACGUAGGGUGCAAGCGUUAAUCGGAAUUACUGGGCGUAAAGCGCUCGCAGGUGGUUUGUCGCGUCGUGCGUGAAAGACCCCGGCUCAACUGGGGAGGGUCGUGCGAUACGGGCGAACUGGAGGCCAGUAGGGGGAUGCGGAAUUCCGGGUGUAGUGGUGGAAUGCGUAGAGAUCCGGAGGAACACCAGCGGCGAAGGCGGCAUCCUGGACUGGUCCUGACACUCAGGAGCGAAAGCGUGGGGAGCGAUCCGG